AUCGAUACCCCACGGUAANUUUCACUUUAAAUUUAAAAAUUUAUAUACCUCCAUCUUAAGAAUCAAUUUCAAAAUAUUUCUCUAAAAAAUAAAUAAAAAGUUAGGUCAAGGUGUAACUCAUAUUAAAGAUUUAGAUGAAUUACAAUAAAAAUAAUUUAAAGAAUAUAAAUUUAAAUACUUAUACAAAUUAGGAUUUAAAAGUAAUAUUUCAAUAAUAUUAUAAUAUGAUUCAGAUAAUUAACGUGUACACAUCGCCC
rnacentral:rRNA from 1 species